rnacentral:misc_RNA from 1 species
GCUCUGUGGAAAAAGAGCUUGAUGCAACGACUGCUACAAAUGCAGUAUACCAGGAUAAGACAAGCAUCCUGUUUUCUGGUACUACAGUAGUCGCUGGAAGGGCAAGAGCUGUUGUUAUUGGGGUUGGAUCUAAUACUGCAAUGGGCAGUAUACGUGAUUCUAUGUUAAUGACCGAAGAUGAGGUGACGCCAUUGAAGAAAAAGUUGGAUGAAUUUGGCACUUUUUUGGCAAAGAUCAUUGCAG